rnacentral:rRNA from 1 species
GAGUAACACGUAAGCGACCUGCCCUUGAGUGGGGGAUAACCCCGAGAAAUUGGGGCUAAUACCGCAUAAAGUGUUUGGGGUAAGGCCCGGACACCAAAGCCUUCGGGUGCUUGAGGAGGGGCUUGCGGCCUAUCAGGUAGUUGGUGAGGGUAACGGCCCACCAAGCCGAUGACGGGUAGCUGGUUUGAGAGGAUGAUCAGCCACAUUGGGACUGAGACACGGCCCAGACUCCUACGGGAGGCAGCAGCAGGGAAUAUUGCGCAAUGGGCGAAAGCCUGACGCAGCAACGCCGCGUGGGUGAAGAAGGCCUUCGGGUCGUAAAGCCCUUUUCUUGGGGAAGAAGCACUGACGGUACCCAGGGAAUAAGCCUCGGCUAAUCACGUGCCAGCAGCCGCGGUGAUACGUGAGAGGCGAGCGUUAUCCGGAUUUACUGGGCGUAAAGGGCGUGUAGGCGGUUGGGCAAGUCCUUUGUGAAAUCUCCUGGCUUAACCGGGAGGGGUCAAAGGAAACUACCUGACUUGAGGGUAGCAGGGGGAGAUGGAAUUCUCGGUGGAGCGGUGAAAUGCGUAGAUAUCGAGAGGAACACCAGUGGCGAAGGCGAUCUCCUGGGCUAUACCUGACGCUGAGGCGCGAAAGCGUGGGGAGCAAACAGGAUUAGAUACCCU